rnacentral:rRNA from 1 species
AUACGGAGGGUGCAAGCGUUACUCGGAAUCACUGGGCGUAAAGGACGCGUAGGCGGGUUGUCAAGUCAGAUGUGAAAUCCUACAGCUUAACUGUAGAACUGCAUUUGAAACUGGCAACCUAGAGUAUGGGAGGGGGAGAUGGAAUUAGUGGUGUAGGGGUAAAAUCCGUAGAUAUCACUAGGAAUACCGAAAGCGAAGGCGAUCUCCUGGAACAUAACUGACGCUAAGGCGUGAAAGCGUGGGGAGCAAACAGGAUUAGAAACCCUUGUAGUCC